rnacentral:rRNA from 1 species
UUCCAGCUCCAAUAGCGUAUACUAAAGUUGUUGCAGGUAAAAAGCUCGUAGUUGGAUUUCUGGCGAGGCUUGGUCGGUCGGCGCUUAGCGUGUGAACCGUGUCGAGCCUUGCCAUCCUGAGGAAGAACCUUGUUGGCAUUAAGUUGUCGACUUGGGUACUCCUCUCGUUUACUGUGAAAAAAUUAGAGUGUUCAAAGCAGGCUUAUGCCGUUGAAUAGUCCAGCAUGGAAUAAUAAGAUAGGACCUCGGUGCUAUUUUGUUGGUUUGCGCACCAAGGUAAUGAUUAAUAGGGACAGUUGGGGGUAUUCGUAUUCUGCAGUCAGAGGUGAAAUUCUUGGAUUUACGGACGACGAACUACUGCGAAAGCAUUUACCAAGGAUGUUUUCAUCG